rnacentral:lncRNA from 1 species
ACUCCAAAAAUUAAUCCGUUUGAUGUUCCAGAAUCCUUGAAUUAUACUCUAUCUAACGGUACUUUCAAAAAGAAUUUUCGAUGCACGAAUCCCGAGGCACCCAGUUUUGUGUGUUUUGGGCAAUUAAUGAGGGAAUAACCCAUGUGGGGCCCACAUGUGACACAAGAAGGUAAAAAGUCCAGAUUUUCUUCCCUUCUACUUCUUCCCCACGUUCUUCUUUCCUCCCCCUCUCUUCUUCUUUGUGUGCAAGUCUAUCAAAAAUGGUACAAUGCUUGGUUGGAGGUAUGGCCACAAAAGAGUGUAUGUGUUCCUCUUCUAGUAUAAAUAAGAGCUCUUAGAAGCCAUUAAAGUCACCAAUUCACAGCCACUUCUCUCAAGUUCUCUCUCUCCUUAUUUCUCUCUAUUCCUAUUGAUUUCUUGAUCAUCACCCUUAACCACCACAACCCCAUCAUAUACCACCACCUCUUAUGCCGUUGAUACUGCCGCUGUAAGUACUCAUCCCCAACAUUUGUUAUUUAUUUAUUCAUUUUUUUUAUGAUUGAGCUUUGACGAGGUCCUGAAUCAUUUUUUUUAUCGUUCAUGAAACUUCAUGUAGAUGAACACACAAGGUAAAUUACCUCCUGUGCAAUUGAGUUUAAUUGAUUUUACUCUUUGUUACAUUUUACUUACUUAAAUAAUGCCCUCAAAGUUUGUUGAUGUUACGAAAUCAACCCCCACACCUUAUACGUCCAUUUCAAGAUUUACACAAUCCUCCCCUCCACUUCAAAGGUUUCUACAAAUAGGACCCUAAGUCCCAAACUUCAAUUCCAAAAUAAUUCUUAGCUCCCUCCCAAAGAAUUUGUUUACAAAAUUAUUCAUAGGUUCCUAAAACAUCAUUUAAAAUGUUCAAAACCUACCCUCCUUGGAAAUCUGUUACAAAAACAAGUCCCAAGUCUCAAACCUGUGUCUAUUUUAUUUAUUUUAACUCCUCUGUAGAGAUUUAUUUGCAAAAUAAAUCCUAAACUCAAACCUAGAAUUUAAAUAAACAAUUUUAGUUCCUUAUUUGGAAAUUAUUAACAACCUUAGUCUAUUUAAUAUAUUUAAAUUCGUGAAUGGAUCCCAUACAUUGGUUAAAUUUCCAAACAACUCUUCACAUAUUAAUUUAUGUUAAUAUUUCUAGGAAACUAAAUAAAUCUCGACGAUUCGUAUUCACGGCAAUAUAUCUCGCUUUUUCUCGCAACAAUUACUCGACAACUACACAUUAAGGUGAGUGUUACGGCCCCACUUUUACAUAUUUUCGGGGGGGNGGGGGGGGAUACAUGUAUUAAUUUUAUAUCUAGUAUAUAUCUAUUUUCUAAAUUCUUUGUUUAAACAAACAACACUGCCGUUUUUAUGCAAUAUAAUUCACACAAAAAUAUUAUUUAUCACGCUACUACUUACGGGAUGUGUACUAAGUAAUAUUUAUCAUACAAAAUACACAAAAAAAUAUCAUUGUUUUGUGUAAAUACUUUACCAGUUUUAGAAAUAAUUGUUUAAACGCUUACAUGUUAAGUAAACAGAAUCGUUUUAAACCUCAAUACUUUUAUAUGUUAUUUUGUUAAGAUAAUACGAUUAAUAAAAAUACCAUAUACGUUCCGACAAAAAUUAUGCUAAAACUGUAUAGCCGGUUACCACCUCAUACAUACAUAGAAACAUAUAAGUUUAUAUAGUUAUACAAGUAUUGUACUCUUCAAUGUGUACGCUUAUCAAAUAUACUUGUCAAUUACCUGUUUAUCCGUAUCUGUGGUUGUUAAGUUCAACCUUAACUUCAUCCGUAUAUCCGUAUGUCUGUUUAUGACAAAAAUAUAUAGGUUUAUACAUUUAUACAAGUUAUAGAACUUGUAUCUUAGGCUCAUACAUGUGCUUGUGUACACUAUACUAAGUUUUGUCAACUGUUUAAACAAGUAUCGUACACUUUAUAUGUAUGAUUAUCAAAAUAUACUUGUUGUUUAUCAGUAUCUACGGUUGUUAAGUUCAACCUUGGCAGAUAAUUGUAUCCGUAUAUCGGUAUGUUUGUUUAUCCGUAUUUGCGGUUGUGAAGUACAACCUUGGCUGAAAACUUUAUUCGUUACCCGUAUAACCAUGGAUUUGGUUUCUUUCAAACACAAUUUUAAGUAUGGAAUUACUUAUGGAACAUAACGUUUUGGCUUCAAAGAUUCAUUACAAACACAAUUUUAAGUAUGGAAUUACUUAUGAAACAUAACGUUUUGGCUUUCAAAGAUUCAUUACAAACACAGUUUUAUGUAUGGGUUUACUUAUACAAACUAUACAUUUUGGCUUUUAAAGACUCAUUGCAAACGCUAUUUAACUGUUGUUAUACAUACAAAGAUAAUACUUUUUAGACUUACUAAAAGUAUUACUGCGUUAGCAGAAAACCUGUGACACUCACCAACCUUUGUGUUGACUUUCAAACUUACAUGUAUUCUUAGGGGAUCAUCAGACAGGCUUUCAGGAAGAAGAUUACUUGUGGAUUGUAGACGACCUAGCUAGCUUG